GAGAGGGUUACUCUGAGUGGUUCCCGCUAAGGGGAUCUUUUGGCCCCUCUAAAAGUGGUGCAGAAUAAGGGGUGGGCAAGCCUGGUGCCAGCAGCCGCGGUUAUA
rnacentral:rRNA from 1 species